AUUCUGAAGGUUGCAGUAAAAUAUUAGAUAAUGAGUGGAUGUUGCAUGUCAUCAGCAAGCCGUGCUUUGCUCUUGCAAAUAGGAAACGGGCUGUUCCCAACCUGGAUCAAAGCAAUUAUGGAAGUUGUUAGCAUUUACAGAAGCCAUCCCAGUUUUUCAUUGGAUCCCGGAAUGUCCUGCUUUUCCUUAAAGGUAAAGGAACCCUGACAGUUAAGUCCAGUCGCAAACGACUCUGGCGCUCAUCUCGCUUUACAGGCCGAGGGAGCCAGUGUUUGUCCGCAGACAAUUUUUCCGGGUCAUGUGGCCAGCAUGACUAAGCCGCUUCUGGCAAAACCAGAGCAGUGCACGGAAAUACCGUUUGCCUUCCUGCUGGAGUGGUACCUAUUUAUCUAUUUGCACUUUGACGUGCUUUCGAACUGCUAGGUUGGCAGGAGCUGGGACCGAGUAAUGGGAGCUCAUCCUGUCACAGGGAUUUGAACUGCCGAACUUCUGAUCGGCAAGCCCUAGGCUCAGUGGUUUAGACCACAGUGCCACCUGUGUCCCUGUAUCACCCUAGGACGUCCCUAUUUUCCUCAGAGAAAUGUUGGGGGCUAUGGAGCUAUCCGACCCCCGAGCCAUCUGAAGGCAGCCCUGUAUAGGGAAGGGUUUAAAAAAUAAUAAUCAAAUGUUUUAUUAUGUUUUAAUAUAUGUUGGAAGCCAGUCGGAUGGGUGAGGAAUAAUAAUAAUUAAUAAUAAUAAUAAUAAUAGGACUAAAGCAGCAAGUACAGACAGUAUUACGUGCCUUAAUCCUGCUUCUGUCAUUAUUAUCUGGAAUGUCAUCUGCCUCUCAGAAUCUCCUGUGGUGCAAUGGGUUAGUGCAUCAGGCUAUUAACCAGAAGGUUGGUGGUUCAAGCCCACCCAGGGAUAGCUGUGGGUAGAAUUCUGCACUGCAGGGAGUUGGACUAGAUGAUCGUCAGGGUCCCUUCCAACUCUACAAUUCUAUGAUUCAAUCCCCUACCUACCUCUAAUCAUGGCUGGAGUUACCUAAAGUUAUGUAGGAAAACAAUAUCGUUACAUUGACCACACUCAGUUGAGAUAUAACACCUACUGAGGCUAGAUUUCCUUGGGAAAACUCCUAGACUUGGAAUGGUAAUUUAAUCAUUUAGUCCAACCCAGUGCGAAAGCAGGAAAUCCUGAUAGCUGGCCAUACACCCUCUGUUGAAACUUUUAUAAGGGUGAGCUCACCAUUUUCUGAGGCAGUUUGUCUCACUUUCAAGCAGCUCCUAUCAUCCAGAGGUUCUUCCUAAAGUUUAGCCAAAAUCCCCUUUCUAGGUCCAGGUUCUGCCUUCUAGAGCAACGGAAAAGUAAACUGUUGUCUAUGUGACAGCCCUUCAGAUAUUUGAAGAUGGCUUUCAUUUUGGUUCUCUUAUAUGGGCUAAAUAUACUCACCUACUUCAACUGUUUGUCAUAGAUUUUGGGUCUCCAGGCCUUCUCACCAUCCUUUUCACCCUUCUAUGGGCACAUAGGAGACAACACCUAGGGGCCAAGGUCCCUUCAGCCCUGCCCCGCAAUUGAGGGGGCCAAAGCUGAUGUGCAUGUGCCAUGCCUUGUGAUUGAUUAUGCAAGGUGGGGCUUACCUGUCCCCCACCUGUCCCCUUUUAUUCAAGUUGGUACCCCUGUAUGGCAUGUCCCAGUCUUUCAGUAUUCUGCUCAAUAGAGCUGUAUCAUUACUUCUCUCAUUCUGGAUGCUAUGUCUGUUGAUGCAACCUACAUUUAUUAUUCUUAUUAUUAUUAAAGGUCUGUAAGCAGAGAGGGGGAGAUUUCCCCCUCCCUGUUCUCCCCCUCCUAUGGUCUGGUGCGUCCUAUAGAGCGAAAAAUACGGUAAAUUUCUUUUUAAUUUCUUUGUUUAUUUUGUCUUUACCUACAUUUUCACGUGUUUUAAGUGAAAGAGCCUGGACGUAGCAGGACUUUAGCAUGGACUGAGCCAAGUCACCACAGCUGUUUCAUCAAGUCUGAGCUGUUUUAAGUGAAGAGCUGCCAAUCAGCUCACAGUGGCAGGACUUAAUGCUGGUGAAAACUAACCCUGAGUCAUUAGAUCAGUGGCCUUAUAUUUAAGCGAUGAGACUACCAGAUAACUGGGACGUUGCUCCUGUGUUCUGUCUGAAGGGCCAAACUAGAUGUGAUUGGAGCUGCACAGUUUCUUGCCCAUGUCUCUGCAUUGUGAAACAGGAGGUUGGGGGUGUAAUUUUUGCAAGAAAGCUGUGUAAAGAGUGUCUGCCCCUUCUUUAUUAUUAUUUAUUGAAUUUAUAUACCCGGGGGUCUCAGGGCAGUUCACAGAAGAAAAUCGAGAUAUAAAACCACAAAAUACCUAAUAAAAAUAAAAACAAUCCAGUAGUGCCCCCCCCAAAAAACCACAUUUUAAAAGGGCAUAGGAUGUAAAUCGGAUCAACCAAAGGCCUGGUUAAAAAGGAAUGUUUUUGCCAGGUGCCUAAAGGUGUAUAAUGAAGGCGCCAGGCGAACUUCCCUGGGGAGAGCAUUCCACAGAAGGGGAGCCACUGCAGAGAAGGCCCCGUUCUUGUGUUGCCACCCUCCAGACCUCUCAAGGAGACACAUGAAGAAGGGCCUCAGAAGAUGAUGUCAGGGUCUGGGUAGGUUCAUAUGGAAAGAGAUGGUCCUUGAGGUAUUGUGGUCCUGAGUCGUUUAAGGCUUUAUAGGUCAAAACCAGCACUUUGAAUUGGGCCCGGAAACUCAUUGGUAGCCAGUGCAGUCGGACCAGGAUCUGUGUACAGUGGUACCUCAGGUUAAGAACUUAAUUCGUUCCAGAGGUCCAUACUUAACCUGAAACUGUUCUUAACCUGAAGCACCACUUUAGCUAAUGGGGCCUCCCGCUGCUGCCGCCCCGCCUCUGCACGAUUUCUGUUCUCAUCCUGAAGCAAAGGUCUUAACCCGAGGUACUAUUUGUGGGUUAGCGGAGUCUGUAACCUGAAGUGUAUGUAACCCAAGGUACCACUGUAAUAUGCUCAAACAGUCUUGCUCCGGUGAGCAACCUGGUCACUGAAUUCUUCACCCUCUUCUUUUUUCCUUCCUGCGGUCCGUAUCUCCAGACACCUAUACUUUCCACCUAUCUCACUUCUCGUGUCAGAGAAACCCCACUGGGCUUGAGGAGAACAGGAGUUUGGGUGACCAACUGCAAGGAAGGAUUAUUUAUUUAGACCAGUGGUUUUUUCCUGGGGGUACUAACAUGUAUGCAGUACUGGCACACACACACAAACACACACACACACACACACACACACAUGCGCCAAAUGUUAAAAGUACUUAAGGACCUGAGCAGGAGCAGUCCAAUUUCUGGAGGGUAUAGAGACUUUGAUUUACCAGAAAAAAAUAUUAAUGCAGUUAUUUUGAGAUGAAAUAUCUGUGCAACAACACUCUUCCAACCUUGACCUAACCCAAAGCCAUAUUAGUAAGGAACAGAAAAGCCCAAAUUCAGAAGUGCCGUAUGGAACUUCUACCACCAAAAAUUUCCCUCACCAUCUCCACAAACUACCACUAUCUCUUCUGCAGCUUUUUGAAAGGUAAUCUUCAGCCAUAAAAACUAUGCUAAUGCACAUGCCUGGUUUUUAAUUAAGGCUAAAUCUAAUUCCGCUCCAGCUGUAGCUAGCUUUGUUGAUCUAGGUAUUGAAAACAGCCUCCAUGCAAACAUAUUUUGUACCUUUUCUAAUUAAUCUAGCUUAUCAAUGGUCCACAAGAGUGCACCAUACAGUAAUUGUGGUAUGAUCCUUCAUUUAUAUUUUUCCAGAGCUAGUUUUAACAAGUUUCCCCCUUGGAAAUCAUCAGCGUAAUAGAUCUCUCCGUGGGUUGAGUCAUUUGUAAUAUUUGGGGUUGCCAUGAGCCCAUUGAGCGAUUUCCGAAUAAUUAAGGCCUUCUCCCUGAAUAUUAGCCAGCUUACCUUUGAAGGUAGAGGCACUUGGAGAAGAAUCUGAAGAGAGCGGGAUCCUGUACCACAACCAGUCGUUGCCACUUCAGUCUCUGAAUGUCACCCUACUGAAUGUAAAUGGAGCAAUGCUGGAUUCCAUUACAUUCAGGCACUGCUGCUGGAAAAGCCCAAGGCUACGGGCUGGCAUAAGGAUGGGCUGGCAAAGCGGGAAAGUAAUGGAGCAACAUUGCUCCUUCACAUUGGCACACCCUCCAACAUUUUUCCAAUGAAAAUAGGGACAUUCUAUUCAAUUAUUAUUACUAUUAUUAUUAUUAUUAUUAUUAUUAUUCUACCCUGUCCAUCUGGCUAGGUUGCCGCAGCCACCCUGGGCAGCUUGCAACAUAUAUAAAAACAUAAUAGAACAUUACACAUUGAAAAGCUUCUCUAUUCAGGGCUGCCUUCAGAUGUCUUCUAAAGGUUGUAUAGAUGCAUAUCUCCUUGGCUCGGGGGUUGCAUAACUCCAUACCCUCCAGCAUUUCUCCGAUGAAAAUAAGGAUGUCCUAAGGAAAAGCAGGACAUUCCAGGAUCAAUUCAGAAACUGGGAUGGCUUGUCCCUGGAAAAUAGGGAAACUUGGAGGGUCUUAUGGUUGGCUAUUUCAAUCUGAGCUGGAAAAGAAUUUGAGAGUGUGAAAACCUCACCUUUGCUUUGCGGUAAGCUUUACUAAACACCUGAAGUUCUUUUGCAAUCUAGCUAAGGAGAACUUCACCAUCAUCCCUGCCAGAUGACAGUUGCAUUGAAACAUACCGCAAGUCCUGUGUACCGGCAAGACAUGUUCCUUCAGGCCUACUCUUGCUGCUAUGUUUUCCAUCUUCUGAAGAAUCUGAGUAGUCUUCAACAGCAAGUAGUCUUCAACAGCAAUACAUGCUGCCAGUCUUUAUCUGUCCAGGAGGGAUUGGAGUUAAUGUACCAGUCAGUGUUGGUGAAAGACAUUUUAUGCCACAGAUUCUUUUAGGGCAUCCAAGUUAAGGUCCAGAUCUGUGAGCAUCUUUGCAGCUCCAUAAGAACGAACAGAACUCCACCCAGAGCAGAGAGCCAACCCCCUUUGGGACUUAUGAACCAUUCACAAAGAGGAACUCUCUUUUAUAUGGAUCGAACUCCAGUUUAUUCACCCUCACCAAGUCCAUUAAAUCUCUUUUACAUCAUUUGAGCCAUUAUCUGAGAAGGAAGGGGAGGAGAUUCAGCUCUCCCAACUCAUGUGAACCACCGUCUUUCAUUUCGUACAUGUGAACAAGUGUGGCUGACCCAUCAUAUCUAGUUUGGCCUAGUUUUUGUUGUUCAGCUACCAUUAAGUGCACAAAUGGCAUAUUUUCCCUUGGUACAAGGAAGGAAGGAAGGAAGGAAGGAAGGAAGGAAGGAAGGAAGGAAGGAAGCUCAUCCCUCACAAAACAGUUGCUUGAGCUAGGGUCUUGCUAUAUGGGACAAGAACUGUUUUUCCUCCUGGGAAGCACAUAAACUGAGUUUGCAGAAACUGUCCUGUCCUCUUUCCCCACCUCCCUAUAGGGGUUUGCCUAGAGUAGAGGUUGAUCAGAGGAGCAAGUCAAAGAGUUCUGUUAAGGCAUGGGGCCUUAACAGAGAGGCUGCCUAUUUGAAGGAAUAACCUGCCUUCCGGUGGGAGGAUCAAAUGCAGAGGCUAUUUUGACCUCCAGCAACAAGAGCCAAUUCAGAGAACUCUAGGAGAAGCGGAGGGCAUGGAACAUCUUCCUGGAAAGAGCUUUCAACAGCUCGCUUUCUGAUGAAGUCUCGGUGCAGAGCAGAAGAGAAGGUUGGAGCUGGUAGAGGUUGCCAGCACUUCCAGUUAGUCCAUCACGUACCCUCCAGUGUUCCUUUGAUAAAAACUGGGAUGCGAUUUGGCAAUGAUACCUCGAGAGGCAUCCAAACCUGUGGAAAAUAAAUGGACAGACAAACCAGUUUCGAAAAUAUGCAGUAGAUGAGCUGAGCUGGAUGUCCACGAAGGCUGCACCAGCCUUGAUCUGGGAGCUCAGUUUGCAAACAGGUCAUUGAGAGGUUGCAAGCAGGUCACAUACACUGCAAUAUAUUCCUGGGAAAGAAGGGAGAGGACUGGAGGGUUGGUUCCACUCUCCACCCCCUACUCCUUCUGCAGAGAAGGAAGAGAGGGAGGGGAGGCUGUGUCCCCCUAUUGCUGGGGACCACUUCUACACUCAUAACUUGCUUCUGCUACACAGCAGCUAGAAAACAACUUGUCUAUCCCAUCUUUUGGCUACAAGGGCCCCCAAGAUUAAUGCACAUUUACAUCUCCUUGCCCCUGAAUUUGGCCCCCAUCCACAUGCCCCCCCCCCCAGUCCCUAUCCCAGUCCAUUUCAGGCUUAAACUUGGAUUUCCCCUACCCAGUGAUGAUGCAAAUACAAAAAACACCCCAGCGGUCUAUCCCUCUGUUAUGUACUGAGUUGAAUAGGAUCCAAAAUGCAGCAGUCUGAUUGGUCCUAGAACAAUAGGAUUCAGAAUGCAGCAAUCUGAUUGGUCCGCAGGAGCCACCCAAUCCAGCUCCAGGUGGAAGUGAAUCUGCAACCUGAUUGGCCUACAGGAGAAUCCCGGAAUUAGCCAAUCACUUGGGGCCCAUUGUGUAAAUAAUGUAUAUAAAGCAGACAUUCUGGGGGAACUUCCAUUCCUCCUCACCACUAUGAGCUGAAUAAAGAGCAUGAAAUCCACUCUCGACUCAGAGUAUAGUUCACCCUCCUACGGUUACUAUGGAUAUGGUCCUCCAGUUCGUGCAGUUAAGGAGAAAUUGUCCCGCUUCCAGACGCAAUACUUCCUCUGAGAUUGAUUUGCCUUCUGGCAGCUCUCAUACUUACUUCCGGCUCAGCUGGUAUUAAGCUGCCUUUUCAGGAAUGGAAUUAUUAUUAUUAUUGCAUUCUAUCGUUAAUAAGUGAACAGUUGCACGCGUGACCCACGUAGUCGAUGCCUGCCAUUUCCCAGCAUUUCUGGAGCUUCGUAUAUGUGCGAAACAAAGGUCAGCCGUAGUAAAUUCAGGUAAAGCCUUUCCCCCACUCUAUAUGUGUGAUGAGCAGCGGGGGGCGGGGGCGGGGGCGGGAUACAAGUGGUUCACUUUAGCACAACAAAAGCCAUCUUGGAUAUGAUUUCUCCUGAGCAAUGGCCUGCCACAAGCCACGGAUAGGAUCUCAGCUGUUAAUACAGUUUCCAAACACUUCUUCUGCCAAAUGGUGUGUCUGCCCCCCCCCCUGCUGCCUUUUACUGCACACGGUGACGAUAGGGCUAUAAUUGGAGGCAAGGGCACUGGAUCUUUUCCCAGGAUCCACUCUUGGAGAAAGCUCUGCGCAUAUUGUCAUGAUGGACGUACACAUGUGUGCCCCGGCAGAGGGAAAGGCAGCCAUUAUUGAUGACUAUGCAAGAAUGGCCGAGCCAGGCAUCCCAUUCCCACUCUGCCCACGCUGCUCUCCUGCUUUUGUGACCUGUUUUCGUCAACACCUUCUUCGCUUGAUCUCCUGUGUUGCCAGGAUUCUAAGCUUUCCUGUGUAAGGGUCGCGUUCAGACGGACGCUCCCAAAUCUGUCCCCUUACCUUCCCAGUCGAGAUUGAUUAUUUUUAGAACUCUGUGGAUAUUCCCAGGCUAGAUGGGAAGAUGACCUUGUGAAAUUAGUAGCACCUCUCUGCUCUCCUUGUUUGUCAUUGCGUGAACUUCAUUUUAAGCUUGUGGUUUUCGACAGCUGCAUUCCAGUACAGGGCUUGCUCUGUUGUAUUCUGGAAUGCAAAUAACGCGUCACCUUCUGAAGUUAAAUUUAACAAAUGAAAUUAAGAACAAGGACUCUGAAGUCCACACUUUCUCUCGUUCCCUUGCUUUCCCCCAGGGAAAACCACAACAAUUUGGGAAGGGAGCGGGGCAAGGGGACAACUGCUAGGACCCAUGCCUAGAAAGCAUGGAUAAAGCAGAAGACCACUUGGACCAGUGCUUGUGAUUCGAGGACCCGUCCCACGCUUGAGAAUAAUAAAGACACAUGGACACAGCAUAUUCGAUUAAUGGGCUAGAAAAGGCCACAACUUUAUUGAUUACAGCAUGUGAGAGGUAUUGGCUUAGGCAUUGGACAACAGCAAAGUUUGACUCCACCCACUCGAAGAGGGGUGAGUCUGUCUAGGGUUAACCACCAGUAGGGGGAGCCUGUUGAUGCAAAUACAACUAUAAGCUCUCCCCUGAUGUCACCGGGGGUCGUGCCAUGGCCCUCUGCCCCACAUGGCAUCGGACAGGAUCCACGACCGCCUGAUUCCUUUAAUGGAAUACCCAUAAGUGAAGGGGUAGGCGAUGGCCACACCUUGCCCUUCCAUACACCAUCAACACAUUCUAUUGCCUAACCGCCAAAUACCAAGAAAGUUGUGACGAUUGCUACGAGGUAGGUGAAAAAAACCAAGAGGCCGGUGCCAAUUUGCCAAUUGGAAAAAACUCCUACCAGGCCCCCUGGGCAACCAGGGCGACCAACCAUGGGUCCAUAGCAAGGUCAAGUGAGAAGCUACGCACUAAAGGGAGUGGUGAGUGGGUGACUCGAGGAAAUCAGCAGCACAAUGGAGGCGAGAGCUGGCACGGCCACAUUUGAGCGGCUAAACCACGCCCCUGAGCUGGCACUCGAUUGGGUGCCCAUCUGGGAGGUGUGGUGCGCCAGUGACGAUGGCAGGGCAGGGGGCGGAACGCCCCCUGUGAAGCGCAGGAAUCGGCUCCCGCUCACAACCCCUCCCCUCUGGAAGGAGGAGAGGCUUUUCCAAACACAAGUGGAACUGUGGAUGAACCCUAUGCUGAAUCGCUACUCAUCUUUUUUAAAAAAAAGAAAAGGAAAAUAUCCUACACCUUGAGAAUAACAGAUUUCUUGUGGCAUAAGUAUUUAUAAACCAGACUUGCUGAUCGGAAGGUCAGUGGUUCGAAUCCCCACGAUAGGGUGAUGCUGCGAUAGCGCAAAUCUCUUGAACUGCCUGCGCUUAUGGUUUUCCUCAAAGAGGAAAGCAGUUGAUAAAAAACAUCUAGUUCAGGCUGGAAUCGUACAUUGACAAACUGAUGAAUCAGUUCCCUGUAGCCUCAGUGAUAGUGGCAGGUGACUUAAAUACUAGAAUUGGCCAGUCUGACAAUGCUCACUUCCACGAAUCGCCACCCAUCUUAGAGGAAGCCCAUUCUAUACCAAUCAGACAGCUUUCCAGCAUAGCUGUCAACUUUCCCCUUUUCUUGUGAGGAAUCCUAUUCGGAAUAAGGGAAUUUCCCUUUAAAAAAGGGAAACGUUGACAGCUAUGCUUUCCGGGUCAUGUGGCCAGCAUGACUAAACUGCUUCUGGUGCAAUGGAACACCGUGACAGAAACCAGGGCGCACAGAAACACUGUUUACCUUCCUGCCGCAGCGGUACAUAUUUAUCUACAGUGGUACCUCGGGUUAAGAAUUUAAUUCGUUCUGGAAGUCCGUUCUUAACCUGAAACUGUUCUUAACCCAAGGUACCAUUUUUGCUAUUGGGGCCUCCCGCUGCCGCCACGCCACCACUGCAUGAUUUCUGUUCUCAUCCUGAAGCAAAGUUCUUAACCCGAGGUACUAUUUCUGGGUUAGCGGAGUCUAUAAUCUGAAGCGUCUGUGACCUGAAGCGUCUGUAACCUGAGGUACCACUGUACUUGCACUGACGUGCUUUUGAACUGCUAGGUAGGCCGGAGCUGGGACAGAGCAAAGGGAGCUCACUCCAUUGUGGGGAUUUGAACUGCUGACCUUCCAAUCGGCAAGCCCAAGAGGCUCAGUGGUUUAGACCACAGUUCCACCCGCAUCCCUGUUCAUCUAUGAUUCCUUCCUGGCAGACUCAUUCAAUAUGUCACAGGCACUCUUGCCUUUGAAGACAGAGGUCAUUUUAAAGGAACAGCAACUUGUGACACAUCGAUAGUAAUAGUGCAAAAUCGUCAUGCGACGCUCAGACACCUUCCGCCAGAAUACAAUGCAAACCAUAAUCGCAGGCAGUUCAAGAGCGCUGUGCUAUCGCACCAUCACCGUUAAGUGUCUCAUUACUCUUGUCCCUAUAAAACGGUCAAUAUUUCUUCCCAUGUUGUUGAACUGUCAAACAAAUGGUUUCUAAGUGAACACUGUUUAAACACAAUAACUAUUGAAUCUCCAGAAGCUAUCAGAUGGCUGCUUUGACGAUAUCUGAUAGCUGACGAACCCAUCAAGGAACAGAGCAGAAUAGGCUGGAAGAGAUACUAUGUCACUCGGAUGAGAGGUCAUGACUCAUGUGAGCCCUGAGCCAGAUGUGACUGGAUUUCACCCUGUACAUAACGGCUAGUUGCUACUGAAGAACAUGUCGAUGUUCUUGCGCAAGGUAUGUCCGCACUUGCAUGUGACUGAUGCCUGUGAAAUCUUAGUGUAUAUAAUCACUCACAACAUGCAACAUGCUGAACCUGAGGAAUUCAAGCACACAAUAUUACAAGCUGGAACAUUUCUGUUGCUAAUGGAAUUCCUAGAAAUGUCUGAGUACUUUUCCACACCCUCACAAAUUCUGGCAUGUAUGUCUGACUGCAACUCACAGCCCACUUCAUAUUGAAAGGGAAUGCAAUUAAGCAACAGCUAAAUUGGUAUCUCUGCUCUUCUUGUGGUAUGAAUUUGCGGGUGAUGGUCAUGACACGAGGGAUUAAGCCAAGGGUCAACAGCUGCAUUAUCGGUACUGAAAGGCAACAAUGAAUCACAGACCUUUAAAGUUGGAAGGGAUCGUGGGGGUCAUCUAGUCCAAACCCCUUUUGCCCAACAAGGAGUUUGAACCCAUGAUGAGAUACUUAACAGUUGAAUGACACAGACAGAUUAAUUGUCGGGAUUUCAUUAGUCAUCGCUGUUCCCUGUCACCAACUUGUAACUUUCUGCAUCCGUCUUUAAAUUGUGUUUGGCAUCAGCCUCAAAGGCCAACAGAAUAGAGGGACUUCAGCAUGCAUCUUGGAGGUUUUGAAGAGACUUUCCUACUCACCUUUGCUUUAGACAACAGAACUAUGCAAGAUGGCGCUUAUCUUUCAGAUACAAAAAGACUUCCUGACAUGGCGCCAAUAGCGUUGAAAAGGGCUACUGAACAACUCUAACUUGAGCGUUCAUUAGACAGACCAGCCAAAGAAUCCAGCCUGGCUAUUGUAUAGAAGGUGUCUGUGAGGGAGAGGUGGUUUUGUACAGUACAUAACACAGUGGAAAUGAUGACAACAUCAAGUGCUAUGUAUGGAACGACAGAAAUGGACUAGGCAAAGCAUGGAUAGGUUAGGUCAGAUGUGGAUGGUUCAUGUCCAGUGAGUUAUUGCUAUGUUUUCAGGACAGCUUGUUAACCCAUUUUCAAUUUCUUAAAAAAGAAUUUGUGAUAAGAUAAAAAUCAUAUCUUCAUUCUCAAGUUGCUGUAAUGUUAAAGGAAGGCAAGAAAUGCUGGUGUUUGUUCGGCAAUGACUGCAUGCAUGGCUCCAACAAGUGAAGAUUCAGAAUGAAAUUAAUAUUCCAAGACAAGAUUUGGAAAGUGUAGUGGUUGUUUCAGCAAGCCCACACUGCAAGGGGAGACAGUGGAGGAAACUGUGACCAAGGUUCUCACUCCUAUGAAAUCCAUGUGCACCACUUUGUAAGUAUGCAUAGUAUUAUGGUCUUUAAAACUAUGGUUUGUCUUUUGUGUAUUGAACACAACAUUAUUUAGAAUAUGUCAGUACAGUGGAACCUCGGUUUUCAAACGUACAGUGGUACCUCAGGUUACAUACUCCUCAGGUUACAGACUCUGCUAACCCAGAAAUAGUGCUUCAGGUUAAGAACUUUGCUUCAGGAUAAGAACAGAAAUUGUGCUCUGGCAGUGCAGCAGCAGCAGGAGGCCCCAUUAGCUAAAGUGGUGCUUCAGGUUAAGAACAGUUUUAGGUUAAGUACGGACCUCCGGAACGAAUUAAGUACUUAACCUGAGGUACCACUGUAAUCCGUUCCAGAAGACUGUUUGACUUCUGAAACGUUUUAAAACUGAGGAGCAAUGGGCGGUUGGCAAAAUCCAUUGAGAGAAAAUAAAAACACACAGUAGAAGUCGUCUGACUUCCAAGGCACGUUCAAAAACGGAAGCAAUUACUUCCGGGUUUUCACUUCCGAAACGUUCGAAAACUGAGAUUCCACUGUAUUCCACUGUAUUCCCACAGCUUCCCCUAUAACUCACAACAACUAGCAAUCAUCUGUUUUGCUAUUUUGUAUUGUCGUGAGUUUGAGUAAGCAGACAUAGGAUUGCACAGUUUGAGUCAGGCUGUAUGAUGCCUCCGUCCCUUCUAAUUCCUGGAUCCGGGAAGGAUUAGAAUCUAAUGGAGCAUCUCAAUGUUGAAUUAGCCAGGCUCCGUGCCAGAGGGCAAAGGGGUGGACCUCAUCCCUUACCUGGCUGGAAGUAGGUCGGCUAGAAGCAGGCUGCAGGCAGAGAGGGAGAGCCACGCUUAAUUUCUGCUUGAAUCCAGCUGUUGAUAUGGGAGAAGCAACACCUUCUGGGGUGUUAAUGCUAUGAGUCCCUCCAUCCUGGGUUGUAGGUUUUUGUAAAUAAACCCUAUAACAUAAAGACACUACAGUCUCUGCUAUCCCUAACUCCAAGGAAACCGAAAGCUGGGUAAACAGCUGGAGUCUGGGGUGGCGUGCAACUGUAUUCAAGCACAGUAAAUUAAGUGUGCAGUGUUCUAUUAAGUACAGACCAUCUCAGCUUAGCUUGGAGGCUAUGCUCACACUCCCGAUUACUGGACACUCGAACAUUUCCAGUGUAUUUUUAUAAAAAAAUCCAUGUGGACAUUAUCCAAAAUGCAUAUGCAUCCCGUACUUCGUUAUAAGUUACUACUGUUUAGGGCAUUGUUUCUCAAAUGAGCUUCACACUGAUUGGAGCCUUCAAGUUAGUCUCUGAACCGCUUUUGCACAGGGGAAAAAGACACCCCCCAUCAUCAGUGACCCCUGUUGUGAGCCGAACCAGAAAUGACUUGGACACUAAUGAAGAUGUGGACAUGGGGGGGGGGGCCUUUGAAACAAACAACAACAACAACAGCUUCACUACACUCUAGGUGUUAUGUACUAAGCUUGGAUCCUAGAACAAUAGGCAGGUAGGAUCCUAGAAUGCCACAACUGAUUGGCUUGCAGGAAAAGACCAAUCAGGCUCCAGGAGGAAGUUAAUCAGCCUUUUAGGCUGGUAGGAUCGUAGAAUGCAACAACUGAUUGGCCUGCAGGAGAAGACUCCAGGCUCCAGGAGGGAAACAGAAUCAGCCAAUCAGACAGGACUCGUUGUGUAAAUAAUGUAUAUAAAGGCCUGAGGUUUGGAGGGGGGAAUCAAUCACUGUUUUACAAGCUGCAAUAAAAAGCAUGAAAUCACUACAGGACUCCGAGUAUAUUUCACUGGUGGUGAAGAUGGGAUCUUGCUGAACUGUCCGCUGUGCAUCGCACACAGCCGCCACAGGCAACACAACAUCGCACCGCGCAUCCAGGCUACAGCUCCAGGACCAAGGGAUGCAGAAUGGCAACAGACAACAGCUUCAUGCAGUUCAGCCCAGCCUCAGGAGACUGGGAAGGAUACACCACCCGCUUCCAGUUCCUCCUGGAGGCAAAGGACAUCACUGACGCAGCCAAGAAGAGGGGGACCUUCUUCAGCGUCUGUGGAGAAGAAACGUUUGAGAUUCACUAAGGCAGGAAUGUGAACAGACCCCUAGACUCCUCUACUGCCUCUCUUCUCUUUUGGAUGAGUAGGAACACUUUGCCAAGGCUGCAUUUAGAACCUUCAAGAGCUGUCAAGAACCCUGUUUAAUAGACCAGUUUACAUUCCCAACACCUGUGCGGUGUCUCCACUAACAACACCAUUUGUAUAUCAUUCUUUCCACAGCAACUUGCAUAAUCUCCAUUCUGAUCUCUAAAGUUGCUGCAGCUGAGAUCUGUGAGCUCCCGGCUGACGCAUUAUUCCAGUUCCCACUAUAAGAUAUCAUUUCCCUGAGUAAAGAACGCUAUGGAGAGAAAUCUACCUUUUUUCUCCCCCCAGCAGAAGUAAUUUCUGCAGGGAGUUUUGAAGCCAGAAUUGCAGGAGAUAAAUAGCAGAGGACACAAUAUCCUUCAGCACUGAGGAGGGUUUUGGCUAUGGAGAUGAUAUGAGAUACUUAUCGUAUAAGCAUGUGUGCACUAAUGAAUUUUCUGCUUUUGGUUGCUAGCUGGUUUUAAGUCUCCCUCCCCAAGCAAAAUUAAGCGGAUUUUAUACAUAUCCCUCAGAUAUCUUGUAUAUAAAUUAAUGGACUAUUUGUGCCAGACUGAAAACUUUAGAAAAAUCUACUUAUAUUAUUUGGAAGAGGCUAUAUAAUUACUUCAAAACUGCCUGUUGUUGUUGUUUUUUAAAAUCAUGAGAUCUCUAUAGUAGCUCUGAAGCUAUGCAAGAAUGAAAAGGUGGCUUUAAUGUGUAUUAAUGGAGCAAACAGCAAAUGUGGAGAAGAGCGGAUUCGUUUUUCUUAUUCCCUUGUAGGACAAGAAUGCUAAAUAAGAGGAUUCCAGCUGUGCAACAGGAAAGUUACAAUGGAUUGUGCAAGUCAUUAAUAUUGCAAUGAAAACUAAUUAAACCUAGAGCUCUGGAGAAGCACUCAUCGGAGAUUUGAAGAGAGGAAGUGCAAGAUUUGGGGGCCUUGGGCAAAGUGUAUUUCAUCCCUCAGAGCAGAACAGUAAACAGAGGGUACUGGAUUGCCUACUACGAUUGAAGAAAAGAAAAUGUAGGCAGUUAGGAAAACGUCUUCAAAUGGCAGAGUAUACCAUAGGACACAAUAGAAGAUGGCUGUUUCUCACUGCUUUUAUGGUUGCUUCCAGUAUUAUCAUUUUAAGGUAAGGGUGCUCUGCUGCCCAAGGCAAAACAGGAAGGUGCCUCCCCACCCAGGCCGAAGCCUCCCACCUGGGUUAUGUGGCAACACCUGCAAAGUGCAGUGGCAUAGCAUGGGGGGCACAGAGGCUGUUGUCCCAGGUGCAAAAUUGUUAGGGGGUGCAAAAUUUCAACACCCUAAUACAGCUGUGACAAACCUAGACAGCAUCUUAAAAAGCAGAGACAUCACCUUGCCAACAAAGGUCCGUAUAGUAAAAGCUAUGGUUUUCCCAGUAGUGCUGUAUGGAAGCGAGAGCUGGACCAUAAAAAAGGCUGAUCGCCGAAGAAUGGAUGCUUUUGAAUUACGGUGCUGGAGGAGACUCUUGAGAGUCCCAUGGACUGCAAGAAGAUCAAACCUAUCCAUUCUGAAGGAAAAUCAGCCCUGAGUGCUCACUGGAAGGACAGAUCGUGAAGCUGAGGCUCCAGUACUUUGGCCACCUCAUGAGAAGAGAAGACUCCCUGGAAAAGACCCUGAUGUUGGGAAAGAUUGAAGGCACAAGGAGAAGGGGACGACAGAGGAUGAGAUGGUUGGAUAGUGUUCUCGAAGCUACCAGUAUGAGUUUGACCAAACUGCGGGAGGCAGUGCAAGACAGGAGUGCCUGGCGUGCUCUGGUCCAUGGGGUCACGAAGAAUCGGACACAACUAAAAGACUAAACAACAACAACAACAACAACACCACUUUGUUGUUUCCAUCGUGGGGCUCUGUUGAAAAUGGCUUCUCCAUGCAAACCAGGAAGUGACCUCUCCAGACAAUGGAACAAAUCUUCUUAGCUCUAUGGGUGACGCGGAUGCUGUUAGGCAAUUGAAUACGCAUGCGUGCUGCAUCUGUUUCCCUCCCUCCACACGGCCCCGGGCACCGGCAAGCCACGCUAUGCCACUGGUGAAGUGGCAGCAUUGUUGGUGCAUUUCAGCAAUAUCUCGUGGAAAUCUCAGGAGGUUUUGGAGAGGUCUUGCAAGAUCUGGCUGGAGGCUACUGGUGCUGCUUCUCCACCAGCAGUGGAAAUGGCAGGGCACCUGUGGAACACAACUUCUUGGGCUUCUGCUGCCUCAGCCCACCUCAUUGGCAAGCCAGCCCUGGGCUGUCCCUCUUACACAAGUCAGCCUUCUUGGGCGAACCAUGCCCAUGUCUCCCAUGCCUGCCAUCACACGAUGGAGGAAAGUUCAUGCCUCACAUAGACUGGCUACAUACAGAUGCCUGCCCACUUGUGUGCAACCAGUAUGUGUUCUCCCACUGACACAUGCACCAUUUUUGGUACCAAAAGGGGGCAGGCAGGUGCAGAACAGGGGAAUCCCCACUCACAUAUAUCCAGAUAACGUGUGCAGUGGCCGGGAACGGAACCCCUGCGGGGUUUCCCUUGUACAUGCUCCCUUGUACAUCUCCCCAGCAGAGAAGGUCCUAUGGCUUCUCAGUGAUGUAAACACUUCAGUGACUCAUAAAGUCACCCUUCUUGCUUUUGCUUUGGCGGCCAAAAUGACCAGAAAGAAGACCCUGGACAAUAUACCAGUGAACUGUAAAGGAGACACAGAGAUCUAAACAGCGACCAUUAUUUGUGGUGUGACACCCCUUUUGCUUGUAUUUAUUUUUGAUUCAGAUUUGUCAUGGCCAAUGGCUAGUACAAUGAAUUUAUUUGGAUUGGAUUAGAUUAGAUUGUACAUGUUCCAGUCAUGACAAAGAGGUAAAAUUUCUAGAUACCCUAAAUGGCCGUGCCCUAGAAUGGUUAGUGAUUGAACUGACCAGAGGGGCAGCAACCCUGGACCUAAUCUUCAGUGGUGCCCAGGACCUGGUGUGAGAUGUAAGUGUUUUCAGGCUAACUGGGAACAGUGACCAUAGUGCUAUUAAACUAGUGUGACAUUUAAAUCGACCAUUGCCAAGGAAAAUGCAAUUCCCCCCCAAAGAGGAUUGGUAAAAAGGAAGUUGGAAGGCAAAGCCAAGAGGGUCAAAUCACUCCCAAAUACUUGGGAGCUGUUUAAAAACACAGUAUUACUAGUUCAACUGGAGUGUAUACAGCAGAUCAAGAAAGAUACCACAAAGACCAAGAGUAUGGUUAAAAAGCAGAGACAAAAAUGCUAUCAGAGAAAAGAAGAUGUCCUUCAAAAAAUGGAAGUCUUGCCCAAAUAAAGAGAAUCAGAAGGAACACAAACUUUGGCAAAAGAAGUACGAACAGAAAGUAAGAGAUGCUAAGAAAACAACAACAACAACAACAACAACAACAACAACAACAGGGAGGAGCACAUUGCUAAAAAUAUUAAGACCAACAGCAAAAAGUUCCUUAAAUACAUUACUAGACCGUCUAGGGAGGCUGUUGGAUGACAAGGGAGUAAAAGGUGUGCUAAAAGAGGAUAAGGAGAUUGCAGAGAAGCUGGAUGAAUUAUCUGCAUCUGUCUUCAUGUCUGAAGAUUUAUGGCCGAUCCCAGUGCCUGAACUUUGCAGGAAGGGAGUAUGAGGCAAAUAGUGGCGAUGAGAGAUGAAGCUGUAUGCCUAAUAGAUAAAAUAAAAACUGACACUUUGCUAGGUCCCGAUGGCAUCCACUCAAGAGUUCUCAAAUAACUCAAAUGUGAUGUUCUUACAAAAAUAUGUAACUUGCCCCUCAGAUCAGCCUCCAUACCUGAGGACUGGAAAGCAGCCAAUGUAACACCUUUUUUUAGGAGGGAUCCUGGAAAUUACAGGGCAAUUAGCUUAACACCUGUCCUGGAAAUACUGGUGGGAAGCAUGGUUAAAGAUAAAAUAUCCAAACAUAGAGAAGAACAAGCCUUGGUGAAGCAAAACCAGCAUGCUUCUGCAAGGCAACUCCUGCCUCACUUACCUAUUAAGAGUUUUUUGAGAGCGUCUGCAAUAACCAGAGGUGAUUCAGUUGACACAAUGUACUUGGACUUGCAAAAAGCUUUUGACAAGGUACCUUGCUAGAGACAACUGAGUAAGCUUAGCAGUCAUGGAAUAAGAGUAGAGGUUCUUUUGUGGGUUAGGAAUGGGUUCAGUAGCAGGAAGCAGACAGUAGGAACAUAUGGACAGUUCUCCAAAUGUUGAGGUGUAGAAAGUGAAAUCCACGAAGGAACAGUAUUGGAACUCAGAGCCUUUGCAGGGGUGGGGGGACCAGUUAAGAUGGGCCACCCAAGGAGGCUGAUGGUCUCAGCAACUCUUCCUAGGAGGUCUUUCCCUGAUGACACAGUUGCGAGGACUGAAUGUCCCUGCCUUCCCUCCCCUCUCUAAGACUCCUCCUCGCCUGGUUUAGCCCAUGACAUUACUCUUCACCUUGAGAGGAAAUGAGUCACCAACCUCUGUCACCUCUCUCUCUCUCUCUCCAUAUGAACUUCAGGAACUCUGAGCAUGACUUUAGCAUGGAGUCUGAAAUGAGUGUUUUCCUCUACCAAUACUUUGGAAACUUUUGCCAUCUGGAGCUAAGCAACGUUUCAACUGCCUGUGCAUCUUUUCUGGCUGUUGUAUGGAAAGGCACAUGAAUCUGACCUUUGAACAGUUUUACAAGUAAACCAUUUCAUGACUUGACAAACGUGUGGUCUACGUAUCUCUGUGCUAGGAACGUGGGAUGACUUGGAAAUAUAUUUUUAAAGGCGAUAUUUGGGGGAGUCACUGGACAUGCACCUUUAAAAGAUUUCCCAGUCUAGAUUUCCACACUUUUCUUUGCUGCGUGUUUUGCGAUGUUAAAUAUCUCCUGGGGUUCUCUCACCAAAAAGUCCUUGCCCCAAACCUGGGUCUUGGCCUUCAGGAUUCCAGUACUUGGCCCCUUAUAUCCCAGCACCAAGGGACGCAAAUGGUCUGUGUUAAGUUGUGGGUGAACAUAUCAGACGACACAGCGGAUCUUCAAACAGAUCUUGUUUAUUCACAGGCCAGGACAGAACCGAACUGAAGGGUUCAGUCAGCCUGCUUAUAUAGAGCUCCAGUACAACGUUACUGUAACAACUUUCUAAAACUAUCCAAUCACUGAAC